AACGAACGCUGGCGGCAGGCUUAACACAUGCAAGUCGAACGCAUCCUUCGGGGUGAGUGGCAGACGGGUGAGUAACGCGUGGGAACGUGCCCUUCAGUUCGGGAUAACCCAGGGAAACUUGGGCUAAUACCGGAUACGUGCGAGAGCAGAAAGAUUUAUCGCUGAAGGAUCGGCCCGCGUCUGAUUAGCUAGUUGGUGGGGUAAUGGCCCACCAAGGCGACGAUCAGUAGCUGGGCUGAGAGGAUGAUCAGCCACAUUGGGACUGAGACACGGCCCAUACUCCUACGGGAGGCAGCAGUGGGGAAUAUCGGAAAAUGGGCGCAAGCCUGAUCCAGCCAUGCCGCGUGAGGGAUGAAGGCCUUAGGGUUGUAAAGCUCUUUCGUCCGGGACGAUAAUGACGGUACCGGAAGAAGAAGCCCCGGAUAACUUCGUGCCAGCAGCCGCCGUAACAC
rnacentral:rRNA from 1 species